rnacentral:sRNA from 1 species
CCUUAGCCCAGAUGGAAACGGCAUCCUUUUGUGGCAGCGUUUGCCACAAAAGAUAUAGUGUACAGCUGGAAAUAGC